rnacentral:lncRNA from 1 species
UUUCGGUAUUUCUCGAGUAAUUAAAAAAGAUUCUGCAGCUCUAUGAUGACAAAAUCGUCUAGCGAGAAUAGAGAUUGAUUUCGAGAAGGGCAUGUAAUAAUUUGGUUAAAAGUAAUACGUUGUGUCCAAGAUGGCAAAUCGCGGCAUGACACAAAUUUCUGUGAUUAGAAAACCGUUGAUUUUUUUUAUUGAUUAAAUGAUUUUGUGGCAGGAAUUUUUGACUGUGAAUUAUACCCAAAGAGCAAGAAUCGUGGAACACAUUGGUUCAAAAACAUAACUAUAAACAAAAUGACGCAAGCACGAACUUGUUAGAUUUCUGACAGUAUUUUGAGUUCAAAAAGUCGGCAAACAUAUACUUAGAUUUCUUAUUUUUUAGUUACAGAAAACCAUCAACAUUUUGAAGAUUACAUUCUGGCGCAUGGGGUUGCUUUUUAAAGUGAAUUUCAAUUUUUCUUUAUUUUUAAACUUUACAAAUUUUUAUUGAACUUUUAACAAAUUUAAUUUUUACAUUUUUGUUCUAAAAAUUAAGAUAAAAAACAAAAGGUACAUUUAGUUUAAGUGGGAAAAGAUUUUAAGGAGUACUUCAUAGGUAAGUUCAUCCUUAAAGUUGUCUGUAGAAGUUUUGUUUGUUUCAGGUGGUAAUUUAUUCUAAUCUUUGAUUGUUUGGCUGAAGAAUGAGAAUUUAAAACUGUCUUUAUGAAACCGUCUUUAUUGCAUUGGAGCUGUCUGAAUGUUAAUUGAUGAGUAGAUCUUGUUUUUGAAAGGCUUUUUAUGAGAAUAUCCUGAUGGUUUUGCAAUUUCAUUUACCCAUGGGUAUUUUGUUGUUGACAAACAGCAAAUACACUCUGUCCCAAUACCCUCAAUAGAGCCAUUAAACAACUAAUUUUUGGUUAAGUU